UCGUUAAUCGGGGCAGGGUGAGUCGACCCCUAAGGCGAGGCCGAAAGGCGUAGUCGAUGGGAAACAGGUUAAUAUUCCUGUACUUGGUGUUACUGCGAAGGGGGGACGGAGAAGGCUAUGUUGGCCGGGCGACGGUUGUCCCGGUUUAAGCGUGUAGGCUGGUUUUCCAGGCAAAUCCGGAAAAUCAAGGCUGAGGCGUGAUGACGAGGCACUACGGUGCUGAAGCAACAAAUGCCCUGCUUCCAGGAAAAGCCUCUAAGCAUCAGGUAACAUCAAAUCGUACCCCAAACCGACACAGGUGGUCAGGUAGAGAAUACCAAGGCGCUCGAGAGAACUCGGGUGAAGGAACUAGGCAAAAUGGUGCCGUAACUUCGGGAGAAGGCACGCUGAUAUGUAGGUGAGGUCCCUCGCGGAUGGAGCUGAAAUCAGUCGAAGAUACCAGCUGGCUGCAACUGUUUAUUAAAAACACAGCACUGUGCAAACACGAAAGUGGACGUAUACGGUGUGACGCCUCCCCGGUGCCGGAAGGUUAAUUGAUGGGGUUAGCGCAAGCGAAGCUCUUGAUCGAAGCCCCGGUAAACGGCGGCCGUAACUAUAACGGUCCUAAGGUAGCGAAAUUCCUUGUCGGGUAAGUUCCGACCUGCACGAAUGGCGUAAUGAUGGCCAGGCUGUCUCCACCCGAGACUCAGUGAAAUUGAACUCGCUGUGAAGAUGCAGUGUAUCCGCGGCAAGACGGAAAGACCCCGUGAACCCUUACUAUAGCUUGACACUGAACAUUGAGCCUUGAUGUGUAGGAUAGGUGGGAGGCUUUGAAGUGUGGACGCCAGUCUGCAUGGAGCCGACCUUGAAAUACCACCCUUUAAUGUUUGAUGUUCUAACGUUGACCCGUAAUCCGGGUUGCGGACAGUGUCUGGUGGGUAGUUUGACUGGGGCGGUCUCCUCCUAAAGAGUAACGGAGGAGCACGAAGGUUGGCUAAUCCUGGUCGGACAUCAGGAGGUUAGUGCAAUGGCAUAAGCCAGCUUGACUGCGAGCGUGACGGCGCGAGCAGGUGCGAAAGCAGGUCAUAGUGAUCCGGUGGUUUUGAAUGGAAGGGCCAUCGCUCAACGGAUAAAAGGUACUCCGGGGAUAACAGGCUGAUACCGCCCAAGAGUUCAUAUCGACGGCGGUGUUUGGCACCUCGAUGUCGGCUCAUCACAUCCUGGGGCUGAAGUAGGUCCCAAGGGUAUGGCUGUUCGCCAUUUAAAGUGGUACGCGAGCUGGGUUUAGAACGUCGUGAGACAGUUCGGUCCCUAUCUGCCGUGGGCGCUGGAGAACUGAGGGGGGCUGCUCCUAGUACGAGAGGACCGGAGUGGACGCAUCACUGGUGUUCGGGUUGUCAUGCCAAUGGCACUGCCCGGUAGCUAAAUGCGGAAGAGAUAAGUGCUGAAAGCAUCUAAGCACGAAACUUGCCCCGAGAUGAGUUCUCCCUGACCCUAUAAGGGUCCUGAAGGAACGUUGAAGACGACGACGUUGAUAGGCCGGGUGUGUAAGCGCAGCGAUGCGUUGAGCUAACCGG
rnacentral:rRNA from 1 species